rnacentral:rRNA from 1 species
GCGUGUAGCAGUGAAAUGCGUAGAUAUGCGGAGGAAUACCGAUGGCGAAGGCAGCCCCCUGGGAUAAUACUGACGCUCAUGCACGAAAGCGUGGGGAGCAAACAGGAUUAGAUACCCUGGUAGUCCACGCCCUAAACGAUGCCGACUAGCUGUUGGGGCCUUACGGCUUUAGUAACGCAGCUAACGCGUGAAGUUGACCGCCUGGGGAGUACGGUCGCGAGAUUAAAACUCAAAGGAAUUGACGGGGACCCGCACAAGCGGUGGAUGAUGUGGAUUAAUUCGAUGCAACGCGAAAAACCUUACCUACCCUUGACAUGUCUGGAAUCCCGAAGAGAUUUGGGAGGGGUCCGUAGAGAACUGGGACCCCGGGGCUUGCUGGGUGGCCUCCGCU